UCUAUCAAGAGUCCCAACAGGAUGUAGGUCAUGUAACCUCGUCAAACCCUAAGCAUAUGUCAUAUAGCAGACUUAAUCAGCUUGAGUCCAAUUGUGAACCUCAUGGAAACUUCUUUCCAUUAUCACGCUACUAUGGCCACAGACUUAAGGACUCAACCUCUUAAGUCGUAUAGGACUACUCAUCAACUACUAAGACCGAU
rnacentral:lncRNA from 1 species